CCUUUGCUGUAUCCACUGGCCUUAUUUCCAUGGCUAUAUAUGUCCAGGUGAAACCCCAGACCCAGCCCCCACCCUAACUGAGGUCCGAAUCCCCUAGGCAGGUGUACCUAGGCUUAAUCAGCUGACCAUCCUCCCAUACCCCCAAUUCCCAGUAUUAUUCAGCGGCCUUUGGUCCUGACUAUUAGCCCAGGUCAGAGUCCAGCCCCAUAUAUCCUGCCCAUAUAUCCCAACACCUGUAUGUUUGAGCCACCAGGUAACUGUGCUUGUCUGUGUUUUCUGGCCUUGUUCCCAUCAAGACCCCUAACCUGGCCAUUAUCCCCACCCACAGACAUGGUCCAUUCCCCAAUGCACACGCUUGCCUGUGUCCUACUGGCCAAAACAUAGAAUUAACCCUAGACUUUUCUCUUUUGCUGUAUCCACUAGCCUCACCCACAUGGCCAGACCCAACCACCCUGGCUAUAUAUACCCUGGCCCCAGUCACAUGACCACAUGUCCUGGCAAGUUACAGCCACCUCUCCACCCCAUAUGUAUUUGGAUUUACGCACUUUCCUUUUGUACUCUGACCAUUAACAUCUGCACGUGGCCUUGCUCGCAUGGCCAUGUAUUACGUCAAGCUCCUGGCCUUUUUCCAACCCAGACACCUGUUCUUUACCCUGGUCCCUACUCUAGCCUAUUAUCCACCCAUCCAGCCACACCACAAUUCAUCCAUUGGUCAUUCCAUACAGGUCUUUAGACCCAUAGCCAUAUACCCAGGCCCAUACAUCCCCCACUAAGGCUUACCAUAUUUCCCAGGCUUCACCCCUCUGCCAUAACCACCUGGCCAUUGCACCUUAUUGACUCUGCUGGCUUCAUUCCCAUGGCCGUGUGCCUUAUCAGGAAACCUGACUGUUAUCUGCAACCACAGAUCUGGCCCACUGUUCAGUGUAUACCCUUGUCCAUAUCCCAGUAGCAAAACAGCUGGAAAAUCUCAACACCUUUUUGUGUUCUGUACCCACUGGACUUAUCCCCAUAGCUAUUUGCUCAGUCCAGAUCCAGACCCAUAGACUCUCUGCCUGUUUCAUUUUUUAAAAUUUAUUUAUUUGUUUGAAAGUCAGAGUUCCUGAAAGAGAAGGAGAGACACACAGAGAGAGCGAGAUCUUCCAUCCACUAGUUCACUCCCCAGAUGGCUGCAAACUCCAGGGCCGAGCCAGGCCAAAGCCAGGAUCCAGGGGCUUCCUCCAGGUUUCCAGGGCCACCUAAGGGAAACCAGCGGAGAACCACUUACCUUCACAGACCAGAGUCUUAGUCUUGGAAAAGAUGGGAGAACUUGUUUUGGAAAUACAGAUGAGCAACCUGGAGAGUCUUCUGUGAAGGAGCCUUCUUCAGCGCUGACAGUAAGAGCGAGGCAGUGCACGGGCCUGUGGUUUUCUGCCACGUCCCUGGUUCUCCUAUUCCUCGCCUGAGCAGGCCACAAGGACUGGGCUCAAGGAAGAUGAGCUCAGGGUUGCUCCUCUGGGCAGAGAUGCACCUGCUGCAGUGGUGAAUGUUGGAAAUGAAGAGUCAUAGCCAACCAGAAGUCUGCCUCAGACCAUGGUGGGAUCCCUGAAAAUGAUCAAGCGGCCAUUGAAACUGGGUGUAGGUGUUGAAAAAGUGGGUGAUUAGGGGCUGGCACUGUGGUGUAGUAGGCUAAACCUCUGCAUGCAUCACUGGCAUCCCAUAUGGGCACUGGUUCUAGUCCUGGCGGCUCCUCUUCCAAUCCAGCUCUCUGCAGUGGAGGAUGGUUCAAGUGCUCAGGCCCCUGUACCCUGGUGGAAGACCCAGAGGAAGCUCCUGGCUCCUGGCUUUAGAUCAGCCCAGCUCCAGCUGUUAUGGCCAUCUGGGGAGUUAACCAGCAGAUGGAAGACCUUUCUCUCUGUCUCUCACUGUCUAUAACACUAUCUCUCAAAUAAAUAAAUAAAUAAAUAAAUAAAUUAUUUAUUAAAAAGAGAGAGAGAAUGGGUGAUUCACCCAGGGAUUUGUUUGUGCCAGGGCUGAUGGACAUUGUGGUUUACAGAGUUGGGGGAGAGCACCUCACCUGAAGAGCAAUUCAGUUCCAGGUGCAAAUUCAGUUUCCAAAAUAUCCUUCCAGAAUCGCUGAGGGGACAUCAGCAGUUUAGAUUUCCUAACAUAAUCUGUGUAUAUCCCAUGUGUUUGUUCUAAAAAUUGUUUUUGAAAAUGUUUAUGCCAUCAUAGAAGUUCAGCUGUCUUCUUAUUGUUUGGAAUUGAGUGAAAUUCAAUCUGACCAUGAACAUCAUAUUUCUGAAAUUAUCAGCAUCUUUCGAUUAUAAAAUACAAUCACAUAAUUUGUUUUAAGAAAGCAAUAGUUCCACGUAUCAGGCUUACCCAUGUUCCUCACCCCAGGAACACACUGAACACAUGACCCGUCCCCAACCUGCCCCCAGCUAUUGUCCAGGGAGUUUUUAUAAGUAACUGUGGAUACAGAAAAUAUAAUAACCACCGUAAAUGUUUUCCACUGAAAAAUAACUCCCCAUAUUGGCAACAUGGGAUGGAAUCAGUCAUGCUCGCACGUGUCUUACUCUCUGGGGUCACUUCCCUUGGUGACAAUGGAGUCUCCUUGGUAAUCUCCAGUGAACUGAAAAGCAUAAAUGCUCUUAGGACUGCAUCAGAGUUCUCACAAUGCAGCCAGAGGAUGGAGCCGGAGGGAGCUGCUCACCGUGUGCAGACCGAGCAGAGGUUGGACAUGAGCAGGGAAGCUGUCCUCAGGUGUCCUGGGGCAAUGGCCAGGCUAAGGUAGGAUGUCUGUCCUGUCUGAUGUGUUCAGUUCUCACCUCUCUCCUUGGUUCAAGUCUCCCCCAUCUCCGGUCCCCGCCCUCCAUAGGAAAACGUUUCCUUGGACAUGGACCUGAGGAAUUUCAAGUUCAGUCCUACAGCUGCUUUACAGAGGAGCCGGAGCCAAAGCUUUCACUAAGCUCCAUGUGGUGUUUGAAGAAUACUUAGCAUAGAAGGUGAAUGUGUGGAAAACCGCACAAAUUCUGGGAGGGAUUCUCAGGGGACUGAAGCCACGCGUGUCAUACAGUUCCUGCUGUGGGAUGAUAGUGGAUGGUCCCCUCAGAGACUCAACGCUGGAGCUUCAUCCCCUUGCAAGGUGGAAGCAGUGGAAACCAGAGCUGACCAGGGCCUGUGGCAGGUAUCAGGAACAGAUGAGGCCUUCAAGGCAGGGGCCCCGUUUAUUAUUCUAAAACCCACUGUUCUCUAUAAUAACAGAGACCAGAGGACACCCACCUGCUCUCCUGUCUCCAGCGACGAGAUGACCUGCACCAAGAAGGCUACCACCAGACAUAAACAUAAACCUUUUUCUGUAUCACUUCCGUGGCCUGCAGUAGUAGCUUAGCAGCAUGGGAAAGUAGACUCAGAUAUCUCGUUGUGCCCAGACAAAGAGCAGGUAAUUAGUCCGAAAGUCUGCUGUCGGUGCCCAUUCAGCCUUCUCCCAUGCUUUGGAGAAGAAUGGAGUUGGUGCCACACAGGGUACAGGAGUUGCUUUCGGCUGCAGGGCUUGUGCUGGAAGAUGCUGGGACAUCCAGCCCCCCCCCAUCCCCGUGCAGAUGCAAGGGGCCUCAGCCUCCGGGGCACACCCCUCUGAAAGGUGUGAAAAUGACUCCAUUGCCAGUUGCUUUGGGAAGAAGCGAAGGGAAGGUGUCACGAAGGCUGGCACCAACACUGCUUGCUCCCUGUUGUGACAGCUGGUAAUUGAUGGUAACGACAUGACAUGUUAUUUCCACCUGUAGGAUAUUUCUAAGUCCUCUAAGAUGCUGCAUAUGGGGAUGCCUGCUGUUUGCCAGAAGUUACUGCAGAAUGGGAAGAAUGCAGUAUGGAGUGGAGACUUGUGAGGAUAAAAGGAAAAAUACAGUGAAAGUGGCACAGGAAGAAUUUCUCCAUGUGGAGUUGGAGGCCACAAAGAGUAGAGCUUUCUGGCAAUUGCAGCUGCUGUCUGGAAUGUGCACCUUGUCCACAUCCCCUCCGUGACCAUGGGUGUCUCUGACAGCCAAUGGAUAAGACAAUGGCAUUGUGCCCAGAGGCUUCUGAUGUGACUUGAGAGCUUAUCAGACUUUAAUUCUGUGGGCGGUGUGUUUGUUUAUACAUUCUUCGCUUUAAAGCUCCCACUUUGGAGCACCGAUUUUUCGAUUUUUCAGCAGUAGAACCUGAGACUCCUGACUUGCAAUUCUCAAGAUCCCAAUGAAGUCCUCUGACUUUCACCAUUUCUGAGUUGCAAAUGAUGGGCGGACUGAAUCCUCAUUAACAACACUUGUUGAUUACCUUUGCUUUGGAAGCUGGGGAGACAGUGGAUAAAAAUUGCCUUGGCUACCCCGGAAGUGAAGAUGAGUGAUACUGAUGAUGUCUGAGAGAGCACAGAAGAUGUUUCUUUCUACAGAUUUGGCAUGGUGCAGAAGAAGCAAGAAAAGGAGUAGGGCAAUGCCACAGCUCAGCAUUCGUUACAGCCACCUAGAAUAUGUCAUCUCUGUUGAAGUCCAAAGUGUGGUCAAUAAUCAGCAGGAAAUUGGUUUAGUCAUUUACUGGGACCAGACUGGGUCUUUGGGACCAGCCAGUGUUGGCCACAGCAUGUGAUAGUUAUUUAUAAAUUUGGUUUGGAGAAUUAGGCCAAUGUAGCAGUCAGCCGUGGGCUGCCAUCAUCCUGGUAAUUAUGGAAGAUUGAUGCAGUCCCAAGAAGUCUUAUUUUCCCAGAUGUCAUGGUAGACAGUUUUGUGAGUGUUGGGAAAUUCUUAACCUAACUUGAAGUUCUUCUCUUUCCAUCCACCACAUGGGCUUGUGGUGACAAUGAAAGGAGGUAGUGCAUGUCCAGUGCAAGGCAUGUUAUAAGGCUCAAUAAGGGCCCAAUUCUGUCACUGUAGUACUCUACUGGUACACGCUGCCUGCUGGUGCUGAAGCAGUGUUUGGUGAGGCCGCUGAGUGACACCAGUGAACCUCAAGUGGCAGAGAGGGCAUGGACAAAGCAGAGCCCAAUGAGUGGAGGGAGUUAUUUGUGAUCUGAGUCCACAAAACCACAGGGAUUCAGCAUUAACCAUUAGUUGCUGCUUUCUGUGCAACUGGUCUACCUGAACUCACACCAGUUCAGAUUUACAGUAUUUUCAUACCCCGGCUGAUCAUCAUCAUGUUCCUUCUCUGAAUUAGUAAGAGGUUUUAUUUGGAAUUCUACUUAAGAGGUUACUUAAAGAAUAUGAAAGUGUGCAAAUGCCCAAAAGUCGUGGCAUUAUCAUCUCUCUGGAGUUUUUGCAGACCUGUUGGGCGAGCUUUCUGGGCCCUCAGCAGGUUUUCCGUGAGGCCACUGUAGUUUUCUACCCUUUACUCCAUGGCUGCCGAGGCCUGCAUCGAUCCACAGGAAGGUGGUUGUCUGUGCACCCUCACAGGGGUCUCUGCAUCUUGCUGGGCGGUCCAGCCAGACCUUCAGGUGGGCCGUCACGUUUCACCUGCCUCAUACUACAUCCUUGUCACCUUGGGAUCGUGGACCACAAGGGGGCCAGAACCAAGCCCCUCCAUACGGCCUUGGAUGCAGAUGCUAGCCACCCCAGUCUCCCAGCCUCCCUCUCUUACCUUAAAGCUUCCUUGCCCUGCUCUUAUGAGUGCAAAUCAACCACUUAGUAACAUCAUUAACUCGCUGAAAUGAGGGAGUGGGCAGCUGGCCCUACAAGGUCCCUUAGUCACUAGACUCAUGGGGGCAUCCAUUUCCCUAAAGACGACACCUUGGUGCUUAGGGAAUUUCUUUUCCAGGAAUCUCCACCCCAGGCACAAAGUAACUCCCACUGCAUGCAGCCCCAGCCUGACUGGCAUCCACUUUGCCAUCAGCAACGUGUGCCAACACAACAUUGCCCACUUGCCAAAGAAGGGGCCCGACCACACUUGGGCACCUGAGCUUGGUUGGACCUGCACCUCUCAGCCCCAACUUCAUUCUAGCAGAACCUUUGCCCCUGACCCCUCAGAGGGCCCCAGAACUGACUGAUGGGUCCCUGGCUUCUUGCUCAGUCCUGUGUGGGAAACACAUCCAUUCUUCCACCACUUCCUAUCAGUGGAUGGCUUGCUGUGUGUGUGGCCAUUGGACCCAGUUUUAGGGUGUUCUGUACCAGGAAGGAUUCCUCACUGACACUCUUGGUGGUUCCUUGUUUCUGCUGUUGCCAUGUGGUUUUAGACACUUGCUCCAGAGGAUAAUAGGCCCCAUUCGGCAUCGUGUGUAUGAGGAUCAACAUUAUGGAGAUGUUUUGUGUAUCUUUAUGAAACCUCAAGUUAUGGAUGAGGGCAGAAAAAUAAACCUGCCUCUGAUGUG